rnacentral:rRNA from 1 species
GAUGAACGCUGGCGGCGUGCCUAAUACAUGCAAGUAGAACGCUGAAGGAGGAGCUUGCUCUUCUGGAUGAGUUGCGAACGGGUGAGUAACGCGUAGGUAACCUGCCUGGUAGCGGGGGAUAACUAUUGGAAACGAUAGCUAAUACCGCAUGACAACAGUUAUUGCAUGAUAACUGUUUAAAAGGGGCAACUGCUCCACUACCAGAUGGACCUGCGUUGUAUUAGCUAGUUGGUGAGGUAACGGCUCACCAAGGCGACGAUACAUAGCCGACCUGAGAGGGUGAUCGGCCAAACUGGGACUGAGACACGGCCCAGACUCCUACGGGAGGCAGCAGUAGGGAAUCUUCGGCAAUGGACGGAAGUCUGACCGAGCAACGCCGCGUGAGUGAAGAAGGGUUUCGGAUCGUAAAGCUCUGUUGUAAGAGAAGAACGAGUGUGAGAGUGGAAAGUUCACACUGUGACGGUAUCUUACCAGAAAGGGACGGCUAACUACGUG